rnacentral:rRNA from 1 species
GUUAGGAAUAUUGGACAAUGGGCGAAAGCCUGAUCCAGCCAUGCCGCGUGAACGAUGAAGGCCUUCGGGUUGUAAAGUUCUUUAGCCGAUGAUUAUAAUGACUGUAGUCGGAAAAUAAGCCCCGGCUAACUUCGUGCCAGCAGCCGCGGUAAUACGAAGGGGGCGAGCGUUAUUCGGAAUCACUGGGCGUAAAGCGUGCGUAGGCGGUUUUGUAAGUUAGGAGUGAAAGCCCAGGGCUCAACCUUGGAAUUGCUCUUAAAACUGCAAGGCUCGAAGCUCGGAGAGGAUAGCGGAAUUUCCAGUGUAGCAGUGAAAUGCGUAGAUAUUGGAAGGAACACCAGUGGCGUAAGCGGCUAUCUUGACGAGUAUUGACGCUGAGGCACGAAAGCAUGCGGAUCACACAGGCUUAGAUACCCCUAUAGUCC